GAGGUUGUUUCCAAUCGACCCUCGGCGCAUAGGAAAAAGGGAUAUCAGCUGUAAAACAAAAACAAAAACAAAAACAAUAACAAAUAGAGCAUUAGUAUCGCCCGCAGAAAUAGCAGAAAUAGCGGAAAUAAUUAUCUAAACAUAAGGAACUUAAAUACAAUCGCAUGCAAUAAUAUCAUACAGUAACUACGAAGAACUCUAGGAGCCCCUAACCUACAACCCUGAUCCUAGACCUCCAGACUCUCCUNNNNNNNNNNNNNNNNNNNNNNNNNNNNNNNNNNNNNNNNNNNNNNNNNNNNNNNNNNNNNNNNNNNNNNNNNNNNNNNNNNNNNNNNNNNNNNNNNNNNNNNNNNNNNNNNNNNNNNNNNNNNNNNNNNNNNNNNNNNNNNNNNNNNNNNNNNNNNNNNNNNNNNNNNNNNNNNNNNNNNNNNNNNNNNNNNNNNNNNNNNNNNNNNNNNNNNNNNNNAACAAUCUCCAGCCGCUCGCAGCUCCUCACCGGGGCAUCGGGACCCCUCCUCCGAACAUGCCCGAACCACCUCAGCCUCGCUUCUCGCAUCUUCACAUCUACCGGGGCCACCCCUACCUUCUCUCGAAUAACUUCGUUCCUAAUCUUAUCUAUUCUGGUGUGCCCGCACAUCCACCUAAGCAUCCUCAUCUAAGCAUCCACCUAAGUCUGGAUUUAAGCUUUUUGAUUGAGAAAUAGUUAAAUUUAUGACCAAUUUGUUGAUUGUUCAGGAAGCUUUGAGGACGCGUGGGCUGAAGGAUGACACGACGUGCAUAGUAGUUGACAUAAUUCCUCCGGAUAACACUGUACGGCCUGCAACUCCCCCCAAGAAAUAUAACAAACUCCAAUCUCUUUUUAGAAGAAAGUCACAGAAAUCUACUGCUAAACUAUCGAAAAAGCUGUCAGCUAUAGGCAUUGUAGAGGAACUGUUUGAAGAAGGCUCAGCAAUGCUUGCUGAAAGGUUAGAAUUCUCUUGAACUUUGAAACUUUCAAGCUAUGGUUUAAUAUUUCAUGAAGUUUUUUUAUUUCUGUUGAAGUUGGAUGGAAUAAUUAGACAAUAUAUUGGUUGAUAUAAGAUAUCAAGAUGCUUAUUAUUCACAUAUAGCCUUUUCACACUGAUAUCAUAUAAGUAGCUUGGUAUUACAUUUUGACUUGAGUAGAUUCUACACUGUUGUGGUUGGUGGGUAUAUGAUGAUAUAUCACUAUAUACUGGUCAGAUUCUUUAAAAUUCAGUUUUUACAAAUGCAGCCUUUGUAGCCUAUGUUGUCCGGAGUUUCCGCAUGCGUGUCGGAUCCUCCCCGGAUUAACUAAUACCUCAAACAAAACAUAGGAUAAAAAUCUCAAACUUUAUCGUGUGAUUAUUAUCCUCUUCCAUGUAGCAAACGAUCCCUAAUCAGGGCAAACAUUCCAGAAUGUAAAAAAAAAAGAAGAACAAGGCUGGUUAUUAUUAGACUUGGAAUUCAGUAUUCUUGAAUUUAUUUUCUCUUUUUUUCCAUGACAUAUAUUUCCAAGAAGAAGACUUUGAUCAUUUUAUUCUUAUGUGGACUGCAGAUUAGGGAGUGAAGAUGCAAAUGGUCCAUCAAUGUCCGGUCUCUUCAUCUGUGCUGUUUGCCAAGUUGAUCUUGCUGCAAGCGAAGGCAUAUCAGUACAUGCAGGUUCAAUUUUCUCGACGAGCUCAAAGCCUUGGCAAGGUCCAUUCCUAUGUGCUGACUGUCGUGAUAAGAAGGACGCCAUGGAAGGAAAACGACCAAGUGGAGUCAAAGUCGCUUAACUGGUGCAUCAUAGCCAAGUGUGUCAACAAUUUUGUUAUGAUUCUUUCUGAUUUCUGCUUCAUAUCUUAGUUAAGAUGAUUUAUUGAACAUUGGCAUCAGAGCAUACUGUAUGUCGGCCAAUAAUGUAAAUAGGUUAUUGGGAUGUUAUAAGUUCCUUCUUCCAUAGUAGUUAUGAGAUUCUAAGAGACAUUAAAUGUGCACAAAAACUAAUUAUUUUGUACUUGGGAUAGUGAAUGAAAAAGUCCUUGGAAUCUCAGUUGGUACUGAAGCAAAUUUAGUCUCUGAGUCAAUAGUUGCCUCUGCAUUUUAUUGCUUUUUAUGUCAAGAGAUAGAGAGAGGGAGAGAGAUAGAUACUGAGAAAAGAGACAAGUGCUCAUCCAAUAUUACAAGCUCAAUAAAUAUACUACAAGUUGUAAUAUGUCAUAUCAGACAGAAAAUACUACCAGAAAGGGAAAUAACAUCAUUUCACAGUGUUUUGAAUUUGUAUCUUCAUUAGUCUACUUUCUGAGAACAUUUCCAUAUCCACUAACAAACUUGACCCCGAAUAAGAAGCCUAAAUUGACUGGAAAAUAAUAAUCACAAUUUACAAACAAGAAUUCCACUGAACAAUUAAGUCGAUAUCUACUCUUCAUCCCUGUUAGCUUGUCUUGUUUGCAACGAAGGAAUAUCUUAAAAUGAAGACAAGAGGGGCUUGCUCUGAUGGUAAACAACCCCCACUUCCAACCGAGAGGUUGUGAGUUCGAGUCUCCCCAAGAGCAAAGGUGGGAAGUUCUUGGAGGNNNNNNNNNNNNNNNNNNNNNNNNNNNNNNNNNNNNNNNNNNNNNNNNNNNNNNNNNNNNNNNNNNNNNNNNNNNNNNNNNNNNNNNNNNNNNNNNNNNNNNNNNNNNNNNNNNNNNNNNNNNNNNNNNNNNNNNNNNNNNNNNNNNNACAGCCUCUCUACCCUAGGGUAGGGGUAAGGUCUGCGUACAUACUACUCUCCCCAAACCCCACUAAGUGGGAUUAUACUGGGUUGUACUUUGAAGUCAUCCCAGAAAUAUCAAGUCUGUCUCUUCACUAGGUUUGAUAAUGAAGUAUGUUUAGCUCAAAUUUGUCAUACACUUUAUAAGCAUAAAUCAAUUAAAAUCAACGAAGGGCCAAUCAUAGCAGAUCGUAAUAAAUGAAAAGAUCAAAUGAAUAAAAUGUAUGAGAUAGUAUUGAUUAAGGGGAGGAGGGUAAAGAUCUUUUAUUAAUAAUAUCGAUUUGGUCUGUCUCUCCUUGGAGAGGUUCAGAGCCUUACGAUGUUAUAUAUGCUCUUCUUUUAGAAGUCCAGGUGAACAAGAAGAAGCAGCCCCCCUUUUAGGGUUCUUUCUCUUAAUAUUUAUUGUUGUGUAUCUUGCCAGCCGACAAUGGGCGGCCGUGGCUGCAUCGAAGGGACGUCCGUAAACGAUGAGUAGGCCGUGGUCUCGCUACUCGCUAAUUAGGUUGAGUAACCUUGGAAUACUUUGGUCGGUAAAUGGUUAUUCCUUUUAUUAACCCGAACGAGCUUAGGAGCUAGUUAGACGCGCUACUUAUCACAAAUCUAAUUCUGACCCAUACAGAUAGUCCCUCUGCUUAUUGAGGUCGGGAUCCGGCCGAGCUCGAUGAGCGAAUUUUGCCGAUAGCCGUAGUCGUUUAUGCUUUGGAGACGACCGUAGCCGUUUAAUUUUUUGGAGAUGGCCGUAGCUAUUUAUUUGCAUGUACUCUUCUUUUGGUAGGAGACCGUAGUCACCUUAUUGUCAAGGGACGACGAUAGCCGUUGUUUUGAGAGGGCCGUAUCCGUCCUUAUUUCGGGAAAGGCCGUAGCCGUUUUGUAUUCAAGAGACGGCCGCGACCGUUAUUACUUCAGAGAUGGAUGCAAUCAAUACUACUUUCGGAGGCGGCCGUGGCCAGCAUUACUUUGAAGAUGGCCGUAACCACUAAUGGUUUAGAGAUGGUUGUAGCCAAUAACAUGCUUGGGGGGAAUACGAUCAUGCUUACCGCGUAUAGGGAAGGUUUCAUAUGCACAGUGACGCAUGGGGCGUGCUCUUGGUAUCUUGGGGGCUGUUACAACCGUUCCACGGGUGACGUGCCGAUUGACGUUUGAAGGACCGUUCCGUGGUAUCUGUCAUAAUGAUGCACGUUACUGUAGGCCUGAAUCGUUUUGCGGUUGGUUAAGCAGUUAAUGGUGACCUUCUGUCACGACCCAAACCGAAAGGUCGUGACGGGUACCCGGUGCCUUACUCAAUCGAGUACCAACGUAACAUAAUAUACAAACUUAUACAUGUGAUGUACAGGCCCAUAAGGCCGACAUGACCAUUUGUAAACUCAAAACAUAGGCCGAUAAGGCCAUACAAGUAUCUGUAUACCUGACAUAUGUGUACAAGCAUCUAAGAGUACCUAAUAUCAUAAAGGUUGCUACAGGGCCACGCUAUACCAAUCAAUACAUAUCCAAAGCAUACUAACCAAAUAAGCAACUCCGGAUCAAGUGGAGUGCACCAACACCUUCCGCUGAGCUGAUAACCUACUUAGAGGAAUAUCAAGGUCGGGAUAAGGCCCGUCAUACCAAUCAAUACAUAUCCAAAGCAUACUGACCGAAUAGGCAACUCCGGAGCAAGUGGAGUGCAUCAACACUUUUCCUGAGCUGAUAGCCUACUAGGAAGUUGUCAACCUAUUAAUCGGGACCUGCGGGCAUGAAACGCAGCGUCCCCAGGCAAAAGGGACGUCAGUACAAAUAAAAUAACGAGUAUGUAAGGAAGGAAAGCAUAAGCAAGAACUGUAAUGUAAGGAGAGAUAGAGAAGAUACAACCUGGAACAUCUGAGUGCCUCUGGGGGAUACUGACAUGAAAUGCAUAAUACAUAUAUAUACAUAAACUUUUAAAAACAUACGCCUCUGUGGGCAUCGAGUGCAUUUGGGGGCUACUGACAUGAAAGGCAUAAUACAUAUAUAUACAUAAAAUUUUAACAACAUUUGUCUCAAUGGGCAUCAAGAUCAUCAUAUCGUACCCGACCUUAUAGAGGACUCGGUAAAAAUGUACCCGGCCACGUGGAGCUCGGUAAACCCAACUGAUCAGUGGUUGCAUAAUAGGUGUCGUACCAGGCCGACUAUAGCGCGGCUCGGUGAGUAAAAUAGAUACAUAUAUAUAAUGCUUGCUCGACUCAUGGACUCAUAUUCUAGACCUUUCGGAGUGACGUAAGAUCAUUGCACCUUCGAUUAACAUUAUGGACAUCAUACCAUCAAUAUGGACCUUAGUAGGAUUUAAGGAUCAUACACACUUGUUUAGAAUAAAUUUGUACGGAAAGAACAACAUGGACAAUCUUAGUUGCUACUACACACUUGUUUAGAAUAACUUUAUAAGGAAAGAACAACAUGGACAAUCUUAGUUUCUAGGAGUAGAUCCAUUAUGAAGUAGCGUAUCGUUUAUGUUCGUUUCAAUUUAGAUCAUGCCAAAAGAAAUACAGAAGUGCCUUAACAUACCUUAACCAUAGUGAGUCCUUAAUACCUCUCAAGCAACUCUUCAAACAACUCAACUCAAUAUACCAUUGCAUAAGGAGAUUCAAAAUCAGUAUUGAAUAAAGGCUAAGUUUGCAACUUAUACUUGUAGCUUGUUUAUAUAAAUUCAGGCAGUCUCCCCUGUAAAAGGGACUCCUCCAAUACCAUAUACCAACAAAUAUUACCAUAGAAAUCCAGCGAUACAUAAUUAUCAAUAACAAGACACCAUAAAAUAACAACAAGUCGUAAUUAUUUGACGACUAGCGAUAAGCUCCAAUUGGAAUUCGUAUACCCCAUAUCAUCUCUUAUAGACUUUUUACUUUAGAUUAAUAGCAUCAUUAACAUGAUAAUGAAUCCAUUCAUCAAUAACUCCAGCCUUAUACCACAUAUUCAUACCAAAUAAAAUGAUCCACAACUCCAAUUAUCCUUAAUUAGUAACUUUAUUCACUAGUUCAGGUCUAGUUCAUGUCUAGUUCAUCCAUUCAACUUAACCGAUGCCAAGAUAACCUUAAUAACCUGUAGGAACACUAUUUACCUCAUACAGUAGAUGCAAGUCGGCACGCAUAUUUUAUUUAGCUUACAACAGCCCUGAAAAGAAUGGACCUUGGGCCUAACUCAAACCCAAAAGCUAGCUUAUGAGGUGAGGAUUGCCCAAGCCAUAUAAGGAGACCAAGGACCUCAAAUCCCUCCGAUUGGGACAACUCAACAAGCCCAAAUACACCCCAGUCCAUUCAUACCAAGAACGACGACUAUAGUAGUGUCCAACACCCCGAAAAUAUUAUAAAGAAUGACUAAUCCAUUAUUUCAAAAUUAUGUGGUGUUUCUACACACCAUUUAUCCUCCAAAAACUCCAUUAAAUAGCAUCAAAAUAUACAGCCCAAAAGCUACACGAACCAGCCCACAAAACAGCCCACAACAAGUCGAAUAAUUCGAACUCACGGCUUCCGAUCACCGUCCCGCGGGUUCUAGCUAUUAGGAAAUCAAUUAAUCAACCUUCCUUGAUAUUUAAGAGCUUAAUACAGAACUAAAUUAUUUUCUUAACCUAUUAAAUACCUUCCAUAACUCAACUACAAAGAAAAAGAGAGACUAUGUAGCGAUACUUACAUCGUGGGGAUCGUUCUUGCAUAAUUGCUUCUUGAUUUCGUGCCCGGGAUGAUAAUAUUAUUGAAAAUACUCGUGGGGAGCUUGAGGGUGAGUUUGGGGGUGUUAUUCGGUCGUGGUCUCUGUAAUAAUGGAGAAGGAGAUGAGAUUGGGAUGAAAUAUCCCGUUUUUCCAAAGGUCAAAAAGGUGCCACUUGGCACCCUUGCACAGGUCCUCCUUCAAACGCUUAUAUCUUUUUAUCCGGAUAUCGUAUGAACAAAAGGUUAAGAGCGUUGGAAACUACAUUACAAGACCUUCAAUUUUAUAUAUAAUAUGCCCCAAAAAGACAUCAUAGAGCACCCGAAAUUUAUUACUCAAAAAGCUUCAUUAUAAGGCAAAUCCGUAGCCGGUUUUUCCGCAACUUAAAUUCGAUUUUUCUCAAACUUUAUAUUUCCUAUCCAAACAACAUAUAUAGUCAUAUCAAGGCUUUAAACUCGGUUAAAUCAUAAUUAAAAAGUCUCAUAUUUAUCUUAAUUGCUUAACACUUCGGCAAACCUUUCUUAUCCUUGUAGAAGGAUUUCAUCCUCUUUGAGCUUACAUCAAUAGACUCACGACGUGCUUUCAUGUACAAAAAUAUGGGUUGUAACACCUUUGGGGUUCGCGAAAGCCAUUUAUGCUUCGUCUAUAAAUAAGGGGUUGUAUCAUUCAGUUCUUAUUUUUUCAAUAUUUGUUUAAGUGAAAUUUCGAGAAAGACAGCUCUUGUUGUUGUUAGAUUAAUUCGUCUUCUUCUCCUCGUUACUUCGUUCUUCGUCGUUUAUCGUUAGAUCUUCAUCUUCUCUUAUAGCGGGAAUUCGCACGUGGGCAUCUUUCUGGGAGGUCCAUGGCCGUAGGCCGGCCGCUGGUAAGAAUCUGACUUGCCGUGUUGUUCUCCUUUCAUAGUUCUUAGCUUCCUUUCCUUGACUCUCCUUCCUUUGCUGGUGAGGACGACCACAUCGCAGGAGGGCUCCUCAGCUUGCUUUCCAUAGGCCGGGGGCGACUGCCCGGUUGGUUGCAAUGCGGCACCUCGCCCGGUUCCGAGGGCGACUUCAGUUGAAUCCUCAGCGGCUCACUCUCCAGCACGGUCCGUGCACCGGGUUGAAGAAUCUUCAGGGGCCGUGCGUUCCAGGGUGGAGUUGCCACCGAAUGGAGACGAGGAAGAAGACGAGAGGCCGCUGGUUCGGCGUAGGGUGGCGUUCACCCCGGUCCUUCUGGUGGUGAUUAGUUUGGAUUCUCCACCAUCGUAAGCGGAAGGGAAUGCAGUGGAUCCUGCCCCAGAGGGCGAGCAUUUAGUGGGGGUUUCCCCGGUUGGCUUAGGCCAUGGUGUUGCAGUCGCUUCGGCGAUUCAAAUUUUAGUUUCUGUUGCUGAGAGGGAAGAUAGUUCCUCAACAACGGUUUUGGUGGAGGAUACGGGCGCCAACGUUUUGGCGGGUGCGGACGCUUCAACUUCCCGAGCGGCGGAGGCCUCGACUUCCAGGGCGGCGGAAGGAAGGGGCGUCAGAGGAGAGGGGGAUGAUUUCUGAGUCCGACAUGGACCCUGAGGACGCCCGUCUGUUCCACGAGGGUUAUACCCGCCCAGCGAUGCAGGCCGAAGGGGAUUAGCGCUAUAUGGAGAUUCCUAAUUAGUAGAACCUGCUAAUCGAGGAGGAGAAUCUGGUGACGCUGUUCGAGGUUAUAUGCUCGGAGAUGGAGAGCGCGUCCUUGAGGGGCAUCUCAGAUGUUGGGUUGAUGGGCGAGGUGGCCGCCCUGGGUACAAAGGUAUGUGUGAAGUCUCAGUUUAUUUCUUUUCUUAAUGUAUUUUCUUGUAUUGACUGCUAUCAUGUUUGCUGUAGUCAUUCUUAUUGGAGAUGGAGAGCAUUCGUCGGGCCAAUAUCCGCUCGGCUUUCUUUGUGCGGUUGUUGGAGAAAUACCGCCGCUACCGGGACCGGUGCCGUGAUUUGCGUGAAUGCUUAAGGAACGACCCGCGAUACCAGGAGCUGGUAGAAGAGCUGGCGUGGAGGGAACUUCAUAUGCAACAGACCCUUAACAGGGUAAAUGCUCUUGAGAGGUAGCUCCGUCAAAAGAACGAGGAGAUGGACGGUAAAAGAAGGGCGGCUACUGAGAAAGAGCGCUAAAAUCGGACUACGGCAACGGAGACCGCUGAGGCUUUGACUAGGCAGGUGGCUGCCCUAGAGACGGAGACCGUUGCUUUAAGAAAGCAGGCAGAGGACGCCCUGGCGAGGGUCGAAACGUUGCAGGCGACCAACGGCGCCCAAGAAAGAGAAUGCAGAUUGGAGAGGGCCGCCGCUACUUUCCGAGACAGGGCGUUGGAGGGGCGGAUUGCUGUUUGUGAGCAAGACGCCCGUACUACGGCAUAUCGGAUUGCGGCCUUGGAGGCUGAGAACCAGCGCCUGAGGAAUCAGGUCGCUUCUUUCGAUCCUGCUCGUGAGCUUUGGAUGUACGCCGAGGCCCAACUCGACGUGUAUAGGAGGUUGUGGGAAGCCGGCGUUGUGCCUGAGGCCACCUAGAGGCACGCCAAAAGGCUCAUGACGCCCGCCUCGACUGCGGUUUUGACCCGUCUACGCCCGGGGGUGAUGAUGGCGCCGAGGGUGCUGACAAUGUUGAAGAGGGCGCUGGUGGCGCCGAGUGAACAAAGAGAAAGUUCGUAAUAUUUGUUUAGUUUUCAUUCUCUUUUUCUCUUUUAUUUUUGUUUCCAUUUGGCUGUCUUUUUUUUUUGCCGGCCCUGGGCCAAUGUAAUUGGGGUUAACCCCUUGUAAAUACUGUGAAUAUAUGUGCCUUUCUUCCUUUCUGUUUGUUUUGUAUCAAUUUCGUACGUUCCUUUUUUGUGCUCGUUUGAGAGGGCCUUACCUUAAAGUUUUUCUAGUGAGCAUGCUGAUGGUCUCGACCGGUUAUGUAAUUUCGACCAUUAUCGAAUUGAUUCCUUACCUUAAGGAAAAAUUGGUGUAGAUGGCUUUAGCCAUAGACAUACGCUUUUGGUUAUCACCUCCCUCCACUUGGUGGGAGUGGGUUGUAGUCGUGUUUGGGCAGCGGCGACACGUAGCCUUAGUCCUUACUAUUGGCCGUGGUAAUGGAAAGCACAGCCUUGUAGUUCGACUUGGGCCGAACUUUAUGUGGGCCGAAACUUUAGUUUUAAGUUAGUCGUACUUACUUGAAUGGCGGGGGCACUUGGCCCGAGCUGGGGUUCGACCGUGGUUGAACAAUUGGGAGUGCUCGGCCUCGUCUGAUCGCGGCCCAGCUCGUAUAGGGGGCGCUUGGCUCGACCUGGCUUCGAGCGUGGUUGAACAUUUGGUGGCGCUCGACCUCGCUUGGUUGCGGCCCGGCUCAUAGCGGCGGGGACGUAUAGUCUUGGCUUUGAUUCGUCCGUGGUUGAGUUUGCGACUCUUGUGAUGGAGGUGUGUAGCCUAAGUCCUAGUUCCACUCGUAGUUGAAUUCUUUGGGCGAGGGUACGUAUCCUGAGUCCUAGUUCAACUCGUAGUUGAACUUUUUGGGCGAGGGCACGUAGCCUGAGUUGUUGUUCAACUGUAGUUGAACCUUUGUAAUUCUUAAUGGCGAAGGCACUUGGCCUAAGUCCUAGUUCAACUCGUAGUUGAACUAUUUGGGCGAGGGCACGUAACCUGAGUUGUUGUUCAACUGUAGUAGAACCUUUGUAAUUUUUCUGAUGUCGAAGGUACAUAGUCUGAGUUGUUGUUCAACCGUAGUUGAAACUUUGUAAUUCUUAAUGGCGAAGGCACUUGGCCUGAUUCCCAGUUCAACUCGUAGUUGAACUUUUUGGGCGAGGGCACGUAGCCUGAGUUGUUGUUCAACAGGCACUUGGCCUUAGUCCCACUUCAACUCAUAGUUGGACUUUUGGGCGUGGGCACGUAGCCUGAGUUAUCGUUCAACCGUAGUUGAAUCUUGCAAUUUCUGAUGGCGAAGGCACAUAGCCUGAGUUGUUGUUCAACUGUAGUUGAACCUUUGUAAUUCUUAAUGGCAAAGGCACUUGGCCUGAGUCCCACUUCAACUUGUAGUUGAACUUUUUGGGCGAGGGCAUAUAGCCUGAGUUGUUUUUCACCCAUAGUUGAACCUUUGUAAUUUUUCUGAUAUCGAAGGCACAUAGCCUGAGUUGUUGUUCAACCGUAGUUGAACCUUUGUAAUUCUUAAGGGCGAAGGCACUUGGCCAGAGUCCCAGUUCAACUCGUAGUUGAACUUUUUGGGCGAGGGCACGUAGUCUGAGUUGUUGUUCAACCAUAGGUGAUCCUUCGUAAUUUUUCUGAUGUCGAAGGCACAUGGCCUGAGUCCUAGUUCAACUCGUAGUUGAACUUUUUGGGCGAGGGCAUCUAGCCUGAGUUGUUGUUCAACCAUAGUUGAACCUUUGUAAUUUUUCUGAUGUCGAAGGCACAUAGCCUGAGUUGUUGUUCAACCGUAGUUGAAUCUUUGUAAUUCCUAAUGGCGAAGGCACUUGGUCUGAGUCCCAGUUCAACUCGUAGUUGAACUUUUUGGGAGAGGGCAUGUAGCCUGAGAUAUUGUUCAAUCGUAGUUGAACCUUCGUAAUUUUUCUGAUGUCGAAGGCACAUGGCCUGAGUCCUAGUUCAACUCAUAGUUGAACUUUUUAGGCGAGGGCAUGUAGCCUGAGUUGUUGUUCAAUCGUAGUUGAACCUUUGUAAUUUUUCUGAUGUCGAAGGCACAUAGCCUGAGUUGUUGUUCAACCGUAGUUGAACUUUUGUAAUUUUUCUGAUGUCGAAGGCCAUAGCCUGAGUUGUUGUUCAACCGUAGUUGAACCUUCAUAAUUUUUCUGAUGUCGAAGGCACAUGGCCUGAGUCCCAGUUCAACUCGUAGUUGAACUUUUUGGGCGAGGGCACGUAGCCUGAGUUGUUGUUCAACCGUAGUUGAACCUUUGUAAUUCUUAAUGGCGAAAGCAAUUGGCCUGAGUCCCAGUUCAACUCGUAGUUGAACUUUUUGGGCGAGGGAACGUAGCCUGAGUUGUUGUUCAACCACAGUUGAACCUUCGUAAUUUUUCUGAUGUCCAAGGCACAUGGCCUGAGUCCAAGUUCAACUCGUAGUUGAACUUUUUGGGCGAGAGCACGUAGCUUGAGUUGUUGUUCAACCGUAGUUGAACCUUUGUAAUUUUUCUGAUGUCGAAGGCACAUAGCAUGAGUUGUUGUUCAACCGUAGUUGAACCUUUGUAAUUUUUUUGAUGUCGAAGGCACAUAGCCUGAGUUGUUGUUCAACCGUAGUUGAACCUUUGUAAUUCUUAAUGGCGAAGGCACUUGGCCUGAGUCCCGGUUCAACUCGUAGUUGAACUUUUGGUCUCCCACAUAACCCGCUUCGUGUUGAGCGUUGGGAUUUGAUCCUGGUUUAGGACCUUGCACAACUCGUGCUUGUAGUCUUCUUGGCUGGUUCGCACAGGUCACCCCGUUACAGAUGUCGGUUCGAGAUGCUUUUGUGUUCUCCUCCUUUUUGGCAGGAUCCCAUGUAAAAAAGGGGCGAGGUACCUUAUGUGCAACUUUCCCAUAGGGAUGGGGGAUCUACUUCUUUCUUCUUCACCUUCCCCUUGCUCGGAGGCGCGGGAUGUGGAAGCAAGCUCGUCUCGAGGCUUUUGAAUUCCUUUGAUCCGACGCGCCGCUUUGGCUUGUUCGAGCUGGGUUGUUUUCUUUCCUUUUUUGGUCCAAGGAUAAACUAUGUGAUUCUGCUAUGAAAUCCCCAUAGACGGCGCCAAAUUAUUUAGCACAAAGUUCUCAUACACUUUAUAAGCAUAAAUCAAUUAAAAUCAACGGAGGGCCAAUCAUAGCAGAUCGUAAUAAAUCAAAAGACCAAAUGAAUAAAAUGUAUGAGACAGUAGUUAUUGGUUUAGGGGAGGAGGGUAAAGAUCUUUUAUUAAUGAUAUCGAUUUGGUCUGCCUCUCCAUGGAGAGGUUCAGAGCCUUACAAUGAUAUAUAUCCUCUUCUUUUAGAAGUCCAGGCGAAGAAGAAGAAGCAGCCCCCCCUUUAGGGUUAUUUAUAGCUGUGGAUCUUGCCAGCUGGCAAUGGGCGGCCGUGGCUACAUCGAAGGGACGUCCGUAAACGAUGAGUAGGCCGUGGUCUUGCUACUCGCUAAUUAGGUUGAGUAACCUUGGAAUACUUUGGUCGGUGAAUGGUUAUACCUUUUAUUAACCCGUACGAGCUUAGGAGCUAGUUAGACACACUACUUAUCCCAAAUCUAAUUCUGACCCAUACAAAGUAUAAGUAUUGAUGGAAGACUUCCAAGUCUUUCCAUUGAAAAGUAAGUACUUUGUAAAUUCCCUAACAUCACAUAAUAUACGUUUCUGCCAAUUUUUCCAAAGACUCUGUACUUUUAAACACAAGUGUAGUUAACAACUGAGUUCAUAUCUAGUGUUCCUCUUCUUGAGAUAGGAAAUUGUUUGUUUGAAUAGUAGGAGGAUUCUACAUGGAUAUCACUUCAUUUGUAAGCUUCCUUCUAUAUCUUCUUCUGAUCUUAGUUCAGGCAAAAGGCAGAAAUGAUUCAACUUGUCCAAAGUCAUUUUCACGUGGAAAUCUCACUGACCUGAGCUUUCCUUUCUCUCUUUCCUCGCAACCUGAUUGUGGAAUAAUGUCCAUGUCUGGUUGUGAUGCUAAACCAUUUCCAAGAAUCCAACUACUUCCUGGAGGAGAUUGGUACUAUGCUUUAAAGAACCAUAAUUUAUCAGUUUGGCUUGGGGAUCCGAAGCUUCAAAUGACAUUGAGGCAACGCGAUUGUCAGGCUUUUAACAAAAUUUUCUCCCUUCCAAGCCCUCUUCUAUUUCUUUCAAUAUGGUUAAUAUUCUCAACUUAUUCAAAUGCAAGAGCACUAGUAGUAACACCAAAAACAUUACCCAGAAGAAGAAUGGCACUUUCGCUGGUUAUAAAAUGUACAAUGGUUGUAAAGGCUUUAGCAUAUACUACAAGCUUCCCGGGGAUGAUGAUGAAGACGUUCGAGCAGACAAUCUUCUUGCCGACUGUUCACUUAUCCGAUUGCCAGUUUACUCUCUAUCAGAUGGUGAUUUGUUCAACUUGUUAGGUCCCGAAAUUCUAGUAGAAUGGAAACUGUCUGAUGAGUGUUACCAAUGUCACUAUGGUGGAGGUCAAUGCCAGACUGAUCAAACCAAAAGAUUUCAUUGUACAAAUCAAUAUAAUCCACAUGCUCAAGGUCUAGUGCAUAUCUCUUAAGAGUCCUUUCUUGUUUAUAUAUGACAUAAUGACAAUAUUUCAUAAAAGAUAAGAGGGAUUGCUCUGAUGGUAAGCAACCCCCACUUCCAACCGAGAGGUUGUGAGUUCGNNNNNNNNNNNNNNNNNNNNNNNNNNNNNNNNNNNNNNNNNNNNNNNNNNNNNNNNNNNNNNNNNNNNNNNNNNNNNNNNNNNNNNNNNNNNNNNNNNNNNNNNNNNNNNNNNNNNNNNNNNNNNNNNNNNNNNNNNNNNNNNNNNNNNNNNNNNNNNNNNNNNNNNNNNNNNNNNNNNNNNNNNNNNNNNNNNNNNNNNNNNNNNNNNNNNNNNNNNNNNNNNNNNNNNNNNNNNNNNNNNNNNNNNNNNNNNNNNNNNNNNNNNNNNNNNNNNNNNNNNNNNNNNNNNNNNNNNNNNNNNNNNNNNNNNNNNNNNNNNNNNNNNNNNNUCUAUCCCAGGGUAGGGGUAAGGUCUGCGUACACACUACCCUCCCCAGACCCCACUAAGUGGGAUUAUACUGGGUUGUUGUUGUUGUUGUUGUUAAUGACAAUAUUUCAUAAUAUUUUCCCUCUUCAUUUUAGGUGCAAAAACGACUAGAAGCAAGUUUUUUUCAUUAAGUAAUAUUACUGCUUGAAAAAUUGUGCUUGAGCCGAGGCGUUUAAUUAUACCUGCAUGGGCACCCUAAGCUUCAGCCACUAGGAAUGUACUUCAAGGCUAUAAAUUAUCUCCCUCUUGAACAGUACUAAGCAGUUAGCAGAUCAACGGUUUUUAAACUUUUUUUGUUUAUGAAAUCUACUACAGGAACAUCAAAAACAGGCCACCGUUGGAGAAUCUGGUACAUACUAACCACAGGUACCUCAUCUUCUUUUUUCUUCUCUGAAACUGUAACUGCCAAGAAAAUUUCUUAGUUACCUUCUUUCCCUUCGCUCUUUCGAACAUCUUAUUCCUUUUGGUCCACAAGAAGUGCUGUAGGAGUCCUGUGGCUGUACUUUCAGAAUGAAUUUAUAUUCUCUGAUGGUGCAUGGCUUCAUUUUUUUCUUCACAGGUGCAGUUUUGUUGACUGUUGCAUUGUUAGUUUUACUCUUCUUCUUCGGAGAAAAGAUUGUAUGGUACAAGUACAUCAGGUUUUGGGAAUCUAAUGCUGAGGAUCACAAAAAUAUUGAAGCGUUUUUAAAGAACUAUGGGUCAUAUACUCCAAAGAGAUACAGCUAUUCAGAAGUCAAAAGAAUCACCAGUGGCUUCAAAAACAAACUAGGUCAAGGAGGAUUUGGUUCUGUAUACAAAGGGAGUAUGCAUAAUGGAAGUCACAUGGCUGUGAAGGUCCUGAAUAGGCUAAAAGGAAGUGGUGAAGAAUUCAUUAACAAGGUGGCAAGUAUUAGCAAGACAUCACACGUUAACAUCGUAAACCUUGUGGGAUUUUGUUUUGAGUGUCGCAAAAGAGUACUCAUUUAUGAAUUCAUGUCAAAUGGAUCUCUUGAAAAGUUUAUCUAUGAGGAAAGAUCCGAUGGAGUUCGCCAAUUGGGCUGGCCAAUAUUGUACAAAAUUGCACUAGGCAUUGCUUGAGGAUUGGAGUACUUGCAUCGUGCUUGUACCACUCGGAUUUUGCAUUUUGAUAUAAAGACUCAUAAUAUCCUGCUUGAUGAAGAUUUUUGUCCUAAAAUCUCUGAUUUUGGUCUUGCCAAACUGUGCAUGAAAAAGGAAAGCAUUGUAUCAAUGUUAGGUGCACGAGGGACUAUCGGUUAUAUAGCUCCAGAAUAUUAUGCAGAAACUUGGGAGGUGUAUCUCACAAGUCAGACGUCUAUAGCUACGGAAUAAUGGUCCUAGAGAUGGUUGGAGGAAGAAAAAAUGUUGAUGCCGGAGUAGAUCGCACAAGUGAAAUCUACUUUCCACACUGGCUCUAUCAACGAAUUGAACUAGACGAAGAGAUUCAGUUAAUUGGGAUAAAAUCGACCAUCUAUGACUAAAGUUGUAGAUAUGUUAGAAGGGAACCUAGAGCUUCUGCAGAUUCCUCCCAAGCCUUACCUAUGUUCUCCCUCAAGAUCAGAGGUAGAUUCAUCAGUAGUAGAACUGGUCUAGUGUUUAUUUGUAGAUAUGUCAGUUAUUAUCCAUGUAGUCCAUUUUGUUAUGGAAUUUUAGCAAAAGCUGGUAUCCAAUGUGUUUAGAUGUCCUUGAGUGUGGGAAGCUGUAAUUUUCAUGUUUUUCUUAGUGAUUUAUCACUAAAAAAGAUCAGCGAUUUGCGUAACGGGGGAAUUUUAGAAGUGCUGGUAGCAUGGGCGAAGCCACAUGGUCAAAAGGGUGGUCACUCGACCACUCUUCGAUGAAAAAUUACACUCUAUAUAUAGGUACAAUAUUACGUAUUAGAGGGAUAUAACACAUAUUGAACACUAUGUAUAUAGGUACAAUAUCGGAAUUUUUUUUCCACUUAACUAGUAAAGAGAAGAAAGAUUUGGUUCAACCAAUGUUGUAGUAAUAAUCUGUCUAAAACUUCAGAGGAAAGAACAUAUUUAAUGUAGAAGAUAUAAGAUUGUAUUGCAAUUAUCAUUAAUUGUCAGGGAUGUAAAAUUAUUGCAUGAAAAUUGAAAGGAUCUAACGACUUUAGGAAAUAUUCUUUACAAGUUGAAUUUCAGCUGUUGCUACAAGAGUUUUCACAUUCUGGGUGUCUAUCGAAAACAACCUCUCUACCCUCAAGGUAGGGGUAAAGUCUGCGUAUACAUUACCCUCUCCAGACUCGACUCGUGGUACUAUACUGGUUUGUUGUUGUUGUUGUUGUACUCAGGAAAGUACCUCAACUCGAAAAUUUCUUCACAGUGAUUUGAAUGUGCUUCUGAGAAAUACCUAAAUCCAUUUACAACCUUGACAUAAAAUAUGCAGUGUAAGAUUGACUGGAAAAUAAUGACCACAUGAAAUAAUUCCACUGAACAAUUAAGUUAAUAUCUAGUCUUCCUUUCUUGAGGUAGGAAAUUUUUGUUUGAGCAUGGGAUGAUUCCAUAUAUCUUAGUCUUCUUCUUUUGUUUGCAUUCCUCAAUUAUUAGUCUUCUUCUUUUGUUUGCUUCCUGAAUACCUCCAGUUUCUUCAAAUGCAACAGAAACAGGAAGGAAAAAAGUACACGUCUUUUAUUUGCACAUAAAUUUUCCAUGACCAAAUAGACAUAUUUUACGUAAUACCCCAGCCCGCUAGUGAUAUUGUCUGCUCUGGGCCUAGGCUCUCAUGGAUUUAAAACGCGUCACUAGGGUUUAAGGCUUAUUAACUUACAUACUAGCAUCCUCUUGUAUUUUGCCAAUGUGGGACUUUGUCUAAAGUCUGGGGUAUUACACUUUAACUGCAUAUGAUGUGACCAAAGGGAGAAAGAAAAAGACAGAUUGAAUCAAAGAAGAAAGAUGGUGACAGCAAGUUUAUGGUGCAUACAGACUGAUCCCUCGAAUCGACCAUCUAUGACUAAGGUUGUGGAAAUGUUACAAGGGAACCUAGAGCUUUUGCACAUUCCUCCCAAGUCUUACCUAUAUUCUCCCUCAAGAUCAGAGGUAGAUUCAUCAAUAGUAGAAUUGAACUAGUCUCUCAUUGUUGAUCUGUCGCUUGUUAUUUGUUUAGUCUUAUAUUGUUGUGAAUUUUCAGUAAAGGCUGGUACUGUAGCCCCUAUUUUUCUUCGACUGUUCAAUUUAGUACUCCCUUUAUUCCGUUGUCUGAGACACUUUUGUUUUUAGUCUGUUUCAAAAAGAAUGACACCUUAAUAACUACUUAUUUAUUACUCUUUCCAUUCCAAAUUAUGUGAUGACAUAGUUUGACUGAGCAUUAGGUAUAAGAAAGAAAUUGGGGUGCAUGGAGUAUUUUCUUCAUACAUUUCUCCUUGAAGAUGGUGGCAGGUCUAGUAUCUGAUGUACUUAGAUGUCCUCGAGGGUAGAAAGCUACGAAUUCAUGUCUUUUUAAUGAUCGAUCGCUAAAGGAUAAGUUAUUUGCCUACAGGAAUUCAAGAACUGUCGCAUCGGAGAUCAGAAUGUACAUUCUCCUUAUAUGAAAGUGGAGAACAAAUCAGAUAUUUAUCUUUGGUGGCAGAGUAGUAUUAAUAAACAGUGUUUGGGUUCUUUGCCCACUAACAUGAUGUUUCUGUUUCUUAUCCCAGUUAUGGUGAAAAAGACAUAAGACAGAAUUAGAAGAAAAUUUCUUGGGAAGAAAAUAAAGAUAAAAGAGCCUUUCACUUAGCUAACUCAUGCAUCAUUACCAAGUAUGUCAAUAAUUUUUCAUAGUUCUUUCUCAUAUCUGACAUAUAUCUUAGUUAAGGUGAUUUACUAACAUUGGCAUCGGAGCAGGAAAGGGAGCUUUGGCGUAACUGAUAAAGUUGUUGUCAUGUGACCAGGAGGUCAUGGGUUCGAGCUGUGGAAACGGCCUCUUGCAUAAAUGCAGGGUAAGGCUGCAUGCUAUGGACCCUUGUGGUCUGUCAUUUCCCCGGACCCAGAGCUUAGUGCACUGGGCUACCCUUUUUUGGCAUCAGAGCAUACUAUAUGUCAGCCAAUAAUUUGAGUAGGUUCCAUCAAAUGAAGAACUGUGAUAGAGACAUGAAAUGUACGCAAAGAGGAUUUAUUUUGUAAUUACAGAUAGUGCUUGGGAUCUCAGUUGGUACUGCAGCUGAUAUAGUCUCAGACAUCAGUUCUUGCUGCUGCAUGUUAUUGCAUUGCAUGUCAAGAAAGAGAAAGAGAGGGCGACCAGGAUAUAUAGGGUAGCCCGACGUACUAAGCUUAUGCUAUGGUUCUGUGGAAGGUUAGAUUCUACAUUGAGAGAGCGCUGCCUCAUUGAAAGGCUCUAUACAUCUGCCAUUUGUACAUCAAUGCAUUUCUUUAGGCAAAGUCAUGUUUUUGCCUCUUUCUGGGUAAUAUGAUGAUGGCCCAAAACAAUCAAACGAGUAAAAGGGCAGUUCGGUGCACUAAAUUCCCAUUAUGCACAGGGUUCGAGGGAGACCGGACCACAAGGGUCUAUUGUACAGCCUUUCUGCAAGAGGCUAUUUUCACGGCUCGAACCCGUGACCUCCUGGUCACAUGAUAACAACUUUACCAAUUACGCCCAGGCUCCCUACAAACAGUCAAAAGGAGUGAAUUCCAGAUAUAGCUUUGAGGUAUUUCCUGACGGACUCUGGAAUCUGUUGGAUGAGUAAUACUCUUUAAGUUCACCAUAACUAGGUCAACCUUAGCUAAAUCUACCAUCCACACCAAGAGUGUCCAUUAAACUUGUCUCAAGAAACUAUCACCUUCCAUAUAUAUGUGUAAUGUGAUCAUGUUACAAUAAUCCACCAGGAUCCCACUAGUGGGGUCUGGGGAGGGUAGAGUGUACGCAGAUUUUACCCCUUACCCCUUACCCCUUACCCCGAAGGGAUAGACUAUUGAGACGCUAUCUCCGGGAGACCCUCGGCUCAGAGACAAUAAAUCCGUUAUAAGCUCAAACAGAAAGGAAAUGCUCACAUUUGAUCAACUGAUAUGGUCACGCACAUUAUCUUGCAUACUUCGCAUUUCAGAGAUAAUAUUAAAUAAUUAUAUUAAUUUAAAUUAAAAUAUAAAAAUUCAAUAAAUAUACUACAAGUUAGUCAAUGUGUCACAAGUUGUAAGUGUCAUAUCAAAAGAGAAAAAACUACCAGAAAGGGAAAUAUAACCAUCAUUUUGGAUCAAAGAAAAUAUAUUUUUAUGGGUUGAAUUUAAGUUAUUGCUAUAAUGACUUCUACUUCCAACUUACAUAGAAGUUCCUGAUUUGGAAAAUUCACUCAAAGUGUUUUGAAUGCUUUUUUUCUCUUAGUCUUGCCUUCUGAGAAAUUUCCAAAAUCCACUAACAACAUUAUAGGUCAAAUAUAUGGAAAAAGAAUGAAGUCCUUGGACGCUGCCCAUCACCUAAGAAAGACGGGUAAAUGCGGGAAAUAAUUGGAAAUUGUUAAGUCUUGCAUUGGUUGGGGAAAUGGAUUGUGGUGUUCAAAUUUGUCAUAGAAGGGGUACCCCAAUUUACUAUUUGUGUCUGUUAUUAUGUUUUUAUAUAAAUAAAGAUAUCUUGUAAUAAUUAUAAUUAAAUUAAGAAUUUGAAUUCUAAUUACUAAUUAGAAAUUAGAUAAUAUUUAUUAUUAAUNNNNNNNNNNNNNNNNNNNNNNNNNNNNNNNNNNNNNNNNNNNNNNNNNNNNNNNNNNNNNNNNNNNNNNNNNNNNNNNNNNNNNNNNNNNNNNNNNNNNNNNNNNNNNNNNNNNNNNNNNNNNNNNNNNNNNNNNNNNNNNNNNNNNNNNNNNNNNNNNNNNNNNNNNNNNNNNNNNNNNNNNNNNNNNNNNNNNNNNNNNNNNNNNNNNNNNNNNNNNNNNNNNNNNNNNNNNNNNNNNNNNNNNNNNNNNNNNNNNNNNNNNNNNNNNNNNNNNNNNNNNNNNNNNNNNNNNNNNNNNNNNNNNNNNNNNNNNNNNNNNNNNNNUAUAAUUAAAUUAAGAAUUUGAAUUUUGAUUACUAAUUAAUACUUAGAAAUUAGAUAAUAUUUAGUACGUAAAUUAACACCCCAUGUCGUGAAAGAACUAUUGCCGGCUCCCCAAUCAUCACGUCUCCAACUUCCUUGACCUUCCGGCACUGGACAGGCAUCAGCCCUCAUACAUGGUCGUAAUAUCUUUACUUGGUAUUAGAGUCAGACUCAUUGAUCCCUAUCGCUGCGUUUGUCAAUGUCAGGCCACCGUUACUCACGCAUUAAGUCCUGAGUGUGUGGGAGAGACUUUUCCAAUGUCAAGUCUUAGUUGUACAAGUCUUGAUCAUCCAUUUCUUUACAGGGAUUAACUCUUUCUACUAGCUCUUCAGUGAUUCAAUUGCCCAUGGUGUUAGGUUAUGAAGAUUCUUCUUUUCUUACUCCUUGGUGUGAAGAUUUUUUACUCUGUGGAAAUAGUCUCUUGCAGAAAUAUACUGCGUACAAUAGACACUUUUAGUCCGGCACUUCUUCGGACCCUGCGCAUAGCAGGAGCUUAGUGUACCGGGGCUGUCGUUUCCCCUAAUUAAGAACACUGAAUAUUGGGCAUUAACCUUUAUGUAGGCGACAUUCUCUGUUAUGUACUGUAUCCAAUUGAAGUUCCAAGAAUCAAGACCUUCCUUCAUCCAGCUUGUAGCUUAAUUUAUUGAGUUUGAUUAGCUAUAAAAGGGUUAUCUGGUGCAUUAAGUUUCCGCUAUGUGCGAUAUCCGAGGAAGGGCCGGACCACAAGGGUCUAUUGUAUGCAGUCUUAACCUACAUUUCUACUAAAGGCUAUUUCCACGACUUGAAUCUGUGACCUCCUGGUCACAUCACAACAACUUUACCAAUUACUCCAAGGUUUCCCUUCUCCGAUUAGCUAUAUAUAAGUUGCAAUUUGUCCCACAUUAAAUAAAAGGAAUAUCAAAACAGUCUCUUCAUAAGACUUGACAGUGAAGACUAAUUAUUGCUACAAGACUUUAAUUCCAUUAACAAGAAGGUGCUUUGAAAAUUCACCUCACAGCACUUAAUAUACAUUUAUCACAAUUUCUCCAACUCCACUAACAACUAAAAGCAGUGAACAACUGAGUUCAUAUCUUGUCUUCAUUUUCUUGAGAUCAGUGGCCUGUGGGAGGAUUUAAUAUGACUUUCACUUCUUUUGUAGUAUGCUUUAUUCUGAUCUGUUACUUAGUUCAAACAAAAGGCAGAAGUGAUUCAUCUUGUCCAAAGUCAUUUUCAUGUGGAAAUCUUACUGACCUGAGCUUUCCAUUCACUCUUUCCACACAAUCUGACUGUGGAUUUCUGUCCAUAUCUGGUUGUGAUGCUAAACCAUUUCCAAGAAUCCAGCUGCUUCCGGGAGGAGAUUGGUACUAUGCGUUGGGGAAGCCGUAUAAUUAUACAGUUUGGCUUCGGGACACCAAACUUGAAGCAACUUUAAGGCAACUAGAAUGCCAGGUUUUCGACGAAAAUUUCUCCCUUCCAAGCUCUCCUUCUGUUUCUUUCAAUAUACUUAACCUUCACAACUUCUUCAAAUGCAACAAGAGUAGUAAUAAUACCUUAAACGUUACGCUGAAGAUGAAAGAUUAUUUUACUGGUUAUGAAAUGUACGACGGAUGUGAUGCCUUCAGCAUAUACUAUAAGCUUCAUGGAGAUAAUGAUGUUGAUGAUCGCGACAUUUCAGCAGGCAAUCUUACUGCUGCUUGUUCACUUGUCAGAUUGCCAAUUGUAUCAGUAUCAAAUGAUGGUAAUGUUUUCACAAUGUUAAGUCCUGAAUUUCAAGUAGAAUGGAAACUGUCUGAUGAGUGUUAUGGCUGCCACUAUAGUGGAGGUCAAUGCCAGACUGAUAUUACCAGCAAAUUUCUUUGUCACACAGGUAGACAUCUCCAUAUUCAAGAUCAAGUUAACAUUUAUUAAGGCCCUUUCUUAUUCCAUAUAAACAAAUCUAUAAUAUGUCAUAACAUUAUCCCUGUAUUAGGAAGGUGUGGAGGUCGAAGAUUAGGAUAGUAGGUUAGGUAGUCUAGAUUAUUCAUAUAGGUAGUGUUAGUACGUACUCUCGUAUUUGGUUGGUCGUAGGCUUAUCUGAAUAUCUGCUGUUGUUGUUGUUCUUUUUUUUUUUUUUACAUUUCGAUUAUCUUACUAUCUUGUUAUGUAUGCUGCUUUUACAUAGUUUUUUGGUGUUGUCCCGUCUUGUUUUCUUGUUAUUAUUGGGGUAACUAUCCUUGGCUAGGGCGGGGUGCGUAUGCAGAUCUUACCCCUACCUUUAAGAAGGCCUUGUCUCCGGCGGACCUUUGGCUUAGGAAAAAUAAAAGUAGGGGCAACAACAAGCAAACCAAUCAGAAAACCGAAGCGAAAAUACAAAACUAAUACUAGGUAAUGCAAUCAGAAAACCGAAACGAAAGCAACAACAAGUAGUAAUAGAAGUCAAGGAGUACGAAAAUACACAAAUGACACUAAAUAAUGUACUAAAUCUAUUGUUACAAAUAAGGACAACGCUCAGCUACCUAUACAAAUCCGUAUACCAAAAGAGUAGAGAACCUACACUGAAACAUGAUUCAAAGCUUCAGCCACUGUUUUUGGAUCAAAUAUACUUCCAGACUUCAAACUAUCUCUUUUCCUAUUAGGUGCUCAUUCUUUUUUGAUCAUUAAUUGACUUUUCGCUUAACCAGACAUAAGUUUAAUAAUCUAAAACUCACAAGUGUUAGUAUUGCAGAUGUUAGCAAUAUAACAGCAGCAGGUACAUCAAAAAGGGGUUACCUCCGGACACCCUGGUUCAUUGUAGCCACAGGUAACUCAUCUUCUUUUUUCUUCUCUCGAAGAGUGACCGCGAUAUUUUCUCAGAUACCUUUUUAUCCCUUUCUCCCUUUUGCUGUUUUGAAUAUUUUUUCCCACGGAGUGCUAAAGGAGUUUAUGAAUGAAUCUAUACUUUCUUAUGGUCAUGACUUCAUUUUUGUCCACAGGUACAUUGUUCACUUGUAUUGGACUAUUGGUUUUACUCUUCUACUUCAGGAACAAGAUUUUGUGGUACAAAUACCUAAGAUUUUGGGAUUCUAAUGCUGAGGAUCACCAAAAUAUCGAAGCAUUUUUAAUGAAUUAUGGGUCGUAUGCUCCAAAGAGAUACAGCUAUUCAGAAGUCAAAAGAAUCACCAGUCACUUCAAAAACAAACUAGGCCAAGGAGGAUGUGGUAAUGUAUACAAAGGAAGAUUGCAUAACGGAAAGCAUGUAGCGGUGAAGCUUGCAAAUCGAAAAGGCACUAGUGGUGAAGAAUUCAUUAACGAGGUUGCAAGUAUUAGCAAGACAUCACAUGUUAACAUAGUGAGCCUUGUGGGAUUUUGUUUUGAGGGUCGCAGAAGAGCUCUCGUUUAUGAAUUCAUGCCAAAUGGAUCUCUUGAAAAGUUUAUCUAUGAGGAAAGAUCCAACAGAGUUCGCCAAUUGAGUUGGCCAAUAUUAUACAAAAUUGCACUAGGCAUUGCUCGUGGAUUGGAGUACUUGCAUCGUGGUUGUACCACUCGGAUUUUGCAUUUUGAUAUAAAGCCUCACAACAUCCUACUUGAUGAUGAUUUUUGUCCUAAGAUUUCCGACUUUGGUCUAGCCAAACUUUGCAUGAAAAAGGAGAGUGUCGUGUCAAUGUUAGGUGCACGAGGGACUAUUGGUUAUAUAGCUCCGGAAAUAGUUUGCAGAAACUUGGGAAGUGUCUCUCACAAGUCUGAUGUCUAUAGCUACGGAAUGAUGGUCCUAGAGAUGGUUGGAGGAAGAAAAAAUGUUGAUGUUGAAGUUGACCGUACAAGUGAAAUCUACUUCCCACAUUGGCUCUAUCGACGAAUUGAACUAGACGAAGAGCUCCAACUAAUCGGGAUAAUGAAUGAUUCGGACAAAGAAUGCGCAAGAAAGAUGGUAUUAGUGAGUUUAUGGUGCAUACAGACUGAUCCCUCGAAUCGACCAUCGAUGAGCAAAGUUGUGGAAAUGUUAGAAGGAAACCAAGACUACCCUUUGAAAAUACCUCCCAAGCCUUACCUAUAUCCUGCCUCAAGAUCAGAGGUAAAUUCAUCAGUAGUAGUAGAACCUGUCCAAUCUUCAUUUAUUGAUAUGUCAGCUAAUAUUUUUUAUGAAAUUUAAGCAGAAGUUGAUAAUGUCUUUGAAUUUGAUAGACAACAAGGCUUGUUGUUUAUGUACUUUGAUUCAAUACCAGCUAGAUUUAGGAUCAUCUCAUGCAAAUGAUGUAAAGUCUACUGCAUACUGCCAUUAAGAAGAUCUAAGAACUGAUUGAUCAAGAAGCAAGUCUUCACAGAUCACAAAAUUAUGAGGGCAGUUCAAUCCCCUCCCCGGAAUAAUUAAUAAGGCAAAGAUCACUUUUAACUCGCGGCCGAAACUAUGGUAAUCAAAAAAGUGUAUAAAACUGUAUAUUUUUUGUAUAUAAUAUACAGAAAUGUGUGUAUAUAUAAUAUAUAUAAAACAUAUAUUUUUCGGCUAUUAUUUUGAGAGAAGCUAGGGGUGUGCAUUCGAAUUAUCGAUUCGAUUUUGACCCUUAUCGAUAAUUACUUAUCGAUUAUAGAUUUGUACAUAUGCUUUUACCGAUUCGAUUUUGACCCUUAUCGAUAAUUACUUAUCGAUUAUUUAUUUGUAUAUAUGCUUAUCAUUAUCGUUUCUAUAAGGUUUCGAUUUUUUCGAUUUCGAUUUAUUGAUUUUGGGGGCUUAUCGAUUCGGUUAUCGAUUACACCAAUAAGAAAAUUUGCGGGAUUCUACGAAAAGUAUAUUGCUAUAAACGCGCAUAACUAAUAUGGACAUAAAGAAGCUAAAAUAAGGCGAACACCAUUUAUAACAUAAAAAUUGUAUCAACAAGCACAUACAACAAAACUAAAGUAAGGGAUCAAAUGUAAGCCACCAACACUCCAACGGUAUAAAAAAAUAAAAUAAAAUAAAAUACAUCAUCACGACUAAUUUUAUUUUCCAUUAAUUUGAACUUCAUUCCCUUGAUCUUUAAAUAUGAUCAUUCCUUAAAUGUGGUAGAGGAANNNNNNNNNNNNNNNNNCGACUAAUUUUAUUUUCCAUUAAUUUGAACUUCAUUCCCUUGAUCAUUAAAUAUGAUCAUUCCUUAAAUAUGGUAGAGGAAAUAAUAGGGUAAGGGGCGUAGGGUAAAGGAAAGGGUAUAGAUUAGGUAAAAUGAUAUUGUAUAGCCACUUUCAAAAUAGUACCGGAAUAUAUACAUUAUGUAUGUUAUAUUAAUCUACACAAAUAGGUAAUUACUCAUUUUACAAGUAUCUACGGUCUACGGGUGUGCAUUCGAUUUAUCGAUUCGAUUUUGACCCUUAUCGAUAAUUACUUAUCGAUUAUCGAUUUGUACAUACGCUUAUCCUUAUUAUUUCAAUAAGGUUUCGAUUUUUUCGAUUUCGAUAACAAAUAAUUGAUUCGAUUUAUCGAUAAACCGUUUCGAAUGCACACCCCUAAGAGAAGCUAUAUAAUAUCAUUUUUCCUAAUAAAUAAAUAUGAAAAGGACAAAAUAUCCACAUUUGCCUAAACCUUGGAGUCAAAACGCAUAGGUAAUUUCUUCUCAGCUACCUAAGUUUUGGUGAGUAGAUCAGUUACCCGAUACUUGUGCCAACGGGAGGUAACAAAUAUAUGAUGGAAUCGUCGAGGUGUGCACAAGCAGGCCACGACACCACCGUCAUAAAAAAAGACAAAUAUUCUAUUUGGAUGAGUUCAUCUGCAAUUUGUAGCAGAGAUAGUAUUCACAAUAGCUAUGAUCCCCUUUUCGACUUUCAUUAAUCUUUGUUAGGAGUAAGUGUUAUCUAGGGCUUCCACUUUACCCUAAAAAUAUCUCAUAAAUAAAAUUGACAUUCCAGCACAAACAUCCUGACAGAGAAUUAAAUGUACAAGGAUCUUAUGUUCCUUGUAUUUUUAAUCUACUAGUAUCUGGACACGUGCUUUGCACGUGUGUCCUUGCAAGUGUUACUCAACUUUUGAUGCCCAGAAAAUUUGAUGGAUAGAUGAAGAAGAAAGAGGCUUUAAAAUUUUAACAGGAAUUUCACUUUUAAUUCCAUUACUGGAAUGCCCUAAAAAGUGAGGGAUUCUUGGCUCUUCUCUUUAUUUGAUGUAUUGUAAAACACAAAUUUAGUUGAUUUUUUUGGGCUGAAUUUAAAACAAAAAAAAUUCUUUAUUUUCAUAUAAGGAAAGUUGAAUUAUAUUACGGAAAGAAAGAAAAAGUUGGACAAUUUUUGCUCCAUACUUUUUUUUUUUAAAAAUGUCGACAACUGUAUUUAGAUAAUAUUUUAUUUUAUACACAAAACAUGUAAACGAGAAAUGAUAACUUUGAUUGCAUCCGAUUGUUUCAAAGGUCCAGGGUGAUAACGAUAAAAUACCACUAAGAUGUUCUGUAUCUAUAUUUUUCUUUUUGGAGUAUUAUUUUUCGAUUAGAGAUGAAUGAAGUUAAAAAGGACGAAAUGUUGUCGUUGAGAAAGAAGCAAGCGUGAGAAUAACCCCAAAAAAGCCCUGAUGAGUUCUGAAACAAAUCUACCAGCUUUAUUGCUAUUAAUCUUAGCAUCAUCGUCAAGAGACGACUCUCCCCUAUGUAUUCUAGCUAAAGUUGUCAUACGGGCCGGGUCUACCCGCAAAUCGGACCGGCCUGGUUCAUAAGGGGUUGGGUGGGCUGGGUAGGGGGUAGGAGGGGUUUGGUAGGUUUAGUAUAACUAAUAUGGACAUAAAGAAGCUAAAAAUAAGGGGUUGGGUGGGCUGGGUAGGGGGUAGGAGGGGUUUGGUAGGUUUAGUUUCAUUUUCCAGUUAAUUGGAUCCGGAUAAUCCAGAAUGCGUGAACAAUGCCCAAACCGGUUAACCCGAACCGGCCGGUCCAGUUAAACAGUAUUUUUUUAUUUUUAUUUUCCAAAGAAGGUAGGGCCUACUAUCUGUUGGCUGACUCACUUUUCAGAACGGACCCGUUGGCCAACAGAUCUACCGAAGAAAUGACCUUUUUUUUAGUUGUAUGUUUUUAACCCUUUUUUGAAUGUAUAAAAUUAACCUUUUUAAAAAUUAUAAAUACUCCAUCCCCUUCAUUUCUUCACUCAAAUUUCAUAUCUCAAUCUCAAUUUCUCUCAUUCUCCAAUAUGCAAUACUUAAAUUCAUCAUCCCAUCCUCUAAUUUUAUUUGGCUCACUUUUUUGAAUUUAAUUUUUCAUUCAAAAUUUGAAGUUUGAAGUUUCAACUUUGAACAAUUGAAGUUCAAAAUUGAAAAACUUGCUUGACGAGUUAACGUUUGUUCGUGAUAACAUCGGAAUUGCUUAAUCAAGUGCUACUUUUAUUGUCGAAUUCGGUGCACUCUCUCCAACUCUUACUUUUAUUUACUAUUUUAAUUGCAUGUGCUACUUUUAUUGUCGAAUUCGGUGCACUCUCUCCAACUCUUUCUUUUAUUUACUAUUUUAAUUGCAUAUUUAACUUUAGUUUAUACUUUAAUUUUUACAAUAUAUUGAAUGCUGCUAAAGAGCGUGUAAAAAAGUUACUGGUAGGGAAAAUAAAAAAAGAGAUCGUCCUUCAGCAUCUGGUAGUAAUAGUAAUACCCAAUUUACACAUGUUUCCGAAACAUCGCCUAAUGAUAAUAUAUAUUAUGAACAAUUACAAGAAGAUUUUGGAAUAGAAGAUAAUGAAAUAGGAACGGAAGAUGAGAUACUAGCUACACCUACUAGUGUUUGAGCCGGUAAUGCUAGAGUUAGUACAAGGGGUGGUGGUCAUGUCACUAGUAGUAGACCACAUGUGGCUCCGACAACUAAUCGUAGAAAAAGAAGUAAGGUUUUUUUAUUUUUUUGAAAUAAUAGAAGGUACUGAUAGAGUGAGAUGCAAAAUUUGAAGGAUACUUUUAAACAUUUGACUGGAGGAAAUUUAGGGUGGACUAAGACGCUUAGUAGACAUAUAAGAGUUGACCAUUCCAUAAAAUGGGACCUUGACGGUGAUGACAAUCAAAUAACUAUUAAUCAUACUACUGGAGGUCUAGUGAAAUAUGAUUAAAUGAGGGAUCGUGAGGAGUUAGCAAAAAUAAUUACUUUGGGUUGUCUACCGUUUUCUUUUGCUUCUUCAUCAUAUCUUAUUAUGUAUAUUCAAAGAAUUUACAAUCCUUUAUUUAAUGGUAUCCCUAGAAGUACUUGUAGAGCUGAUAUCUUUAGACUUCAUGGACAAUAUCAAAUAUACNNNNNNNNNNNNNNNNNNNNNNNNNNNNNNNNNNNNNNNNNNNNNNNNNNNNNNNNNNNNNNNNNNNNNNNNNNNNNNNNNNNNNNNNNNNNNNNNNNNNNNNNNNNGUUUAGCCACCUUCNNNNNNNNNNNNNNNNAUAUACAUAUGUUAUUUGUUUAGCCACCUUCCUUGUAGAGUUUGUCUAACUUCUGAUAUUGGCCAUGCUGUUAAUGGAAAUGAUUAUUUAACAACUACAUGCCAUUGGAUAGAUGAUACUACUUGUAUGGAAAAACGUAUUAUCGCUUUUAAAUAUGAUGAAGAUCAGAGUCAGACUGCUGCGUUUAUAAGUAAUACUAUUGUUGAAGUUGCUGAAUUUUAUAAUCUAAAAAAAAUACUGUGUAUAUCUUUUAAUAAUACUUCUAAUAAUAAUGCCACAAUUUCAAUAUUAAAUGCAUUUGAAACCACCUCUUGAUGACAUUUUUCAUGUUAGAUGUGCAUGUGAUGUUUAUAAUUUUUACAAUAUAUUGAAUAAAGAUAGAGCCAAGAAUUCCUCACUUUUUAGGGCAUUCCAGUAUGGAAUUAAAAGUGAAAUUCAUGUUCAAAUUUUAAAGCUAAGAGUCCAAAGAAGAUGGCAGCUCAGACGUACACAUUAUCAAAGAUGUAUAUCGUAUUCCUUGAUCUUAUUACCAAUAUUAAUUUUCGUGAAGUCUAAACUAUACAAUACUUUUUUCUGUAGUGUGUUAAAAUUUUGCUUGGUAAUAUACAUAUUUUAACAGAGUCCCGAUGCACCUCUUCUAAAAGAGUCAUAAUACACCUACCAUCUUUCUUCUUCAUCUAUCCAUCAAAUUUUUUGGGCAUCAAAAAUUGAGUACCACUUGCAAGGACGCACGUGUCGAGAUAUUAGUAGAUUAAAAAUACAAGAAACAUAAAAUCCUUGUACAUUUAAUUCUCUGCCAGGAUGUUUGUGCUGGAAUAUAAAUUUUAUUUAUGAAAUAUUUUUUAGGGUAAGGUGGAAGCCCUAGAUAACAACAAUAAUAACUACCCAGUAUAGUCCCACAGAGUGGGGUUUGGGGAGGGUAAUAUGUAAACAGGCCUUACCCCUAUCCGAAAGGGCAGAGAGGCUGUUUCCAAUCGACCCUCGACUCAGUGAAGGAAAGGAACAACAAAAACAAAACCAAAGAGCAUUAGUACUUCAGCGGAAAUAGCAUAAAUAAUUAUCUACACAUAAGAACCAUAACUAAAAUAGCAUGCAAUAAUAGUAGUAGAGAGUAACAACCAUAAAUAACUACCAUAAAGGAGACACAGUCCAAUACACAAAUCGUCUAUGGAUAGCCCUCCCAAGCCUCACCCAACCCCGGGUGAGGAGUACCAAAACUCUAGGAGCCCCUAUCCUAUAACCCUAAUACUAGACCUCCAGACUCUCCUAUCA
rnacentral:lncRNA from 1 species